AUGUAUAUGUAUUUAUAUGUAUCUUUGUAUGUAUAUAUUUAUGUAUGUGUAUAUGUAUGUACAGUGUGUAUGUGUAUGUAUGUAAACUCAGCAACAACAAAAAAAUGUCCUCGCACUGUCAACUGCGUUUAUUUUCAGCAAAUUUAAUAUGUGUAAAUAUUUGUAUGAACAUAACAAGAUUCAACAACUGAGACAUAAACUGAACAAGUUCCACAGACGUGACUAACAUAAAUUGAAUGUGUCCCUGAGCAAAGAGUGGGUCAAAAUCAAAAGUAACAGUCAGUAUCUGGUGUGGCCAUCAGCUGCAUUAAGUACUGCAGUGCAUCUCCUCCUCAUGGACUGCACCAGGUUUGCCAGUUAUUGCUGUGAGAUGUUACCCCACUCUUCCACCAAGGCACCUGCAAGUUCCCAAACCUUUCUAGGGGGAAUGGCCCUAGCCCGCACCCUCCGAUCCAACAGGUCCCAGACGUGCUCAAUGGGAUUGAGUUAUGGGCUCUUUGCUGGCCAUGGCAGAACACUAACAUUCCUGUCUUGCAGAAAAUCAUGCACAGAACGAGCAGUAUGGCUGGUGGCAUUGUCAUGCUGGAAGGUCAAGUCUGGAUGAACAUUGAGAUUGCCUGCAAUGACAACAAGGUCAGUCCGAUGAUGCUGUGACACACCGCCCCAGACCAUGACGGACCCUUUACAUCCAAAUCAAUCCCGCUCCAGAGUACAGGUCUCGUUGUAACGUUCAUUCCUUCGACGAUAAAUGCGAAUCCGACCAUCACCCCUGGUGAGACAAAACCGCGACUCGUCAAUGAAGAGCAUUUUUUGCCAGUCCUGUCUGGUCCAGCGACGGUGGGUUUGUGCCCAUAGACGACGUUGUUGCCGGUGAUGUCUGGUGAGGACCUGCCUUACAACAAGCCUACAAGCCCUCAGUCCAGCCUCUCUCAGCCUAUUGCGGACAGUCUGAGCACUGAUGGAGGGAUUGUGCGUUCCUGGUGUAACUCGGGCAGUUGUUGUUGCCAUCCUGUACCUGUCCCGCAGGUGUGAUGUUCGGAUGUACCGAUCCUGUGCAGGUGUUGUUACACGUGGUCUGCCACUGCGAGGACGAUGAGCUGUCCGUCCUGUCUCCCUGUAGCGCUGUCUUAGGCAUCUCACAGUACGGACAUCUGCAGUCCUCAUGCCUCCUUACAGCAUGCCUUAGGCAUGUUCACGCAGAAGAGCAGGGACCCUGGGCCUCUUUCUUUUGGUGUUUUUCGGAGUCAGUAGAAAGGCCUCUUUAGUGUCCUAAGUUUUCAUAAAUGUGACCUUAAUUGCCUACCGUCUGUAAGCUGUUAGUGUCUUAAGGACCGUUCCACAUGUUCAUUAAUUGUUUAUGGUUCACUGAACAAGCAUGGGAAACAGUGUUUAAACCCUUUACAUUGAAGAUCUGUGAAGUUAUUUGGAUUUUUACGAAUUAUCUUUGAAUGACAGGGUCCUAAAAAAGGGACGUUUCUUUUUUUGCUGAGUUUAUAUGUGCAUAUAUAUUUGCAAAAAAAUAUAUGGGGAUUGGAAGUGAUGCAGACAAUUACAUUGAUGGAAGCUACAUUCUAUCUGCAAUAUUAAAGCUGAUCUACCCCCUUAUAAUUUAUAGUUUUGACAACUUUUACUUAUCUACAUUUCUUUCAAAAAAUUAUAUCUUGAGUGUUGGAGUGUGCCCCUGGCUCUCCGUAAAUUUAAAAAACUUUAUUGUGCCGUUUGCUUAAUAUAAGCAAUUUGAAAUUAUUCAUGCUUUUUUUGAUAGUUAAGUAUAUUUUUGCAAUUAAAUUUACUUUUGAUACUUAAUUAAGUAUAUUUGAAACUAAAAAAUGGUUUACUUUUACUCAAGUAGUAUUUUACCAGGUGACUUUUACUUGUCAUUUUCUAUUAAGGUAUCUUUACUUUACUUUACUCAAGUAUGACAAUUGAGUAUUUUUCCACCACUGCAUGUAUGCAUCACACACAUGAUGAUAUUACUCACUAUCCUUAAUCACAUUAUCUGUUGCUUAGCGACUAGCACAAACUUAGUGUCUGGAAGUAAUGUGGAAAGUCUUUCAUUCCCAAACUAAGUCAAAGAUAUGAUUAUUAAAAGAUAAAAAUAGCCUGCCGAAGACUUCUCGCAAUAUCUCUGCAUUCAGAGAGGGGUGAGUAAGGGAGAGAAGAGGGAGAGAGGGUGAGGGAGAAAAAGAGAACAACAGAGAGAGCGAGGGGGAAGAGAGGAAGAAAGAGUGAGGGAGGGAGGAAGACAGCUAGGGAGGGAGGGGAAAUGAGACAACGAGAGAGGAAAAUAUCUCAGUUUUACUGUCUCUGUGAGGUUUGAUAAUUACUGUCUCCGUGAGAUUUGAUAAUUACUGUCUCCGUGAGGUUUGAUAAUUACUGUCUCCGUGAGGUUUGAUAAUUACUGUCUCUGUGAGGUUUGAUAAUUACUGUCUCUGUGAGGUUUGAUAAUUACUGUCUCCGUGAGGUUUGAUAAUUACUGUCUCUGUGAGGUUUGAUAAUUACUGUCUCUGUGAGGUUUGAUAAUUACUGUCUCCGUGAGGUUUGAUAAUUACUGUCUCCGUGAGGUUUGAUAAUUACUGUCUCCGUGAGAUUUGAUAAUUACUCUCUCCGUGAGGUUUGAUAAUUACUGUCUCCGUGAGGUUUGAUAAUUACUGUCUCCGUGAGGUUUGAUAAUUACUCUCUCUGUGAGGUUUGAUAAUUACUGUCUCCGUGAGGUUUGAUAAUUUGAUGUGGAGUUUUUGGAAGGCCAAUCCACGUGCAUCCUCUUAAAUGUAGAGGCAACAUCAGCAGCCUCCACAGUUUGGACCACUUCCUAUCUGUGGGACUGGGAUGGACUGCUCUGACCAUGGACCACUUCCUAUCUGUGGGACUGGGAUGGGCUGCUAUGGCCAUGGACCACUUCCUAUCUGUGGGACUGGGAUGGACUGCUAUGGCCAUGGACCACUUCCUAUCUGUGGGACUGGGAUGGGCUGCUAUGACCAUGGACCACUUCCUAUCUGUGGGACUGGGAUGGGCUGCUAUGAACAUGGACCACUUCCUAUCUGUGGGACUGGGAUGGGCUGCUAUGGCCAUGGCUCAUAACUCUACUAAGGUGCCAUUAUAAUUAGCCUACUGUUCACUCCUGAUUAGUGCACAUGGGAUAACACAAUCUUUGUGCAAGUGCAUCAGUCCCAAUUUAGAUAUCAACAGCGGAUUUGGUAUAUCUGCGCCUGAUACCUAUAUAAUAGUUAUAAACUAUUGCAGAUAGUAAAAGUCAACUGUACCCUCAGUGACCUGACAACCAGAUACAAUUCGCUGUACUGCCCAAAAAAAGGCACAUUUGCAUUUGUUUAUGGACAAACCGUAGUGAACUGUAAAUGGUUGUUUGUUUUUUGGGCAGAGUCUGUUGGCAGCCGCCAAACUGGAGGUGCACACCAAUACUCUGACAUCAAACGACAUUAACCCUCACAUCUCCGCAGUUCUCAUUUGUUCAAUGUUUUCUGUAUACACAGUAUACAGUAUACACACUGUGGCAACAUGUUCCAAUCAGUCAGGUUUAACCGUCUUUAUUCAAAGUAGAUGCAAUAGCAAAGAUAAUAUAGAUAUAUUUUUUAAACGAAAUCUAAGCAGCCUAAUACUACAUUACAUUGCCUGAAUGUUGUCAAUUGGUUAUUUUAAUCAUGUUAAUUAAGAGAUAUAAACUAGAAAUGUUUGUUUCAUAUUAACUUACAAUAUGUCCAUGCUCAUCUAUUCAAAACCUGGAUCACUCUUUCGAAUAAAGUCAAAUCAAAGCUCAUGAAUAAAGCAUUUUUAAAAUUAUUUACAAACAAUACAAACCCUGAUUAUCUGACUCGACUGGCCUGUUAGAAACCCAGGGUCUGUAGAUGUGUGCCAGGCUCUGUAGGAAUAUGUCUGAUAUUUAGUUGACUUGAUUACACAGGAGAACAACCGAAUAUCAAAC
ensembl:lncRNA